rnacentral:lncRNA from 1 species
GCAAAAAUCCUUUUGUUGACUUGAUGUGUUGAUUAGUUGAAUUUCGUUAAAUCUAUUAAAAUUGUUGUUGGAAGAAAAACGUGUGUUUGUUUUUUAAAACCGUUUUUGGCUUUUGAAAUGGAUGCUUGAGAUAAUGACAUGUGUUAAUCCUUCAACCGUAGGAUGGUUGACCAAUAGUGACUCUUAUGAAAGGCUCCUCUAGGGUUUCAGAUGCAUGACAAUUCUUCCAAACUUUUCUUUAUUUCUCUGGCUGCGAGACUUCUUCGUCUUCUCUCUAAAAAAAAAAAAAACGAAAAAGAAAAAUCAAAACCCUCUUUUGAUUUUUCUAUAACUCUCAAAAGCAAUGUUAUUUUGGGUGUGAUUUCUACUACUAGAGGGUUGUGUUCUUGUGUGAACUUUCGGUUUUGAAAGAAGGCUGUGAUUUUUUAUUGUGAUCUUGUGUGGUUACGAUCUGAGUGUCAAAAAUACGUAUUUCAACGCCUUGGUUUCGAGAUUCAUACUAGCAAUGUGCUCUUGGAGACGGAAGCACUUGUGGUUCUUCCAAAGGCUUAAAGAUCUAUGGAUUUUGGGUGUAUUUUGCCUUAUGACAAACUGUGUAGAUCGUUCUUUAAUUUCUGUCGAGUUCUAGUUUUGCUUCCAGAUUCUUU